AUGUGAUAUGAUGUUAGACCAUCUUUCGGGACUGACCUGUUAUGGAGAUGACUGUUUUUCAACUGAUCAUAC